UAACCUGGCCAAACAUCCUUGUCAAAGUGUGUUAGAUCGCUGUACCAGGGUUGGGCCUGGUUAGUGCUUGGAUGGGAGACCGCGGGGAAUACCAGGUGCCACAGUGG
rnacentral:rRNA from 1 species